rnacentral:lncRNA from 1 species
GUGCUAUAUGAGCUAUCGAAGAGGAGCCUGGCCGGGUUAAUGGACUCAGGGGGUGUCCUGAGCAGGACUGGUUCCGCUGCUGUCUCUCCGGUGUUCCUGGCAAGGGCUGGGCCUGACAGGUUUCUUUGCAGCUCACCUCAAAGCUGGGAGAUGGGGCUGCCUUGCGUGGUCAUGAUCACUGUCCUCUGGGUCCAGAUCCUGCUGCAAACCCCUCAGGUACUCAUCCUCUCCCAGUUUUUUUGCACUAACGAUCACUAAAAGAUGAGCUUUUUUUCUUUUUAUAAUAUCUAUUAAGUGCUUACUAUGUGCCAGGCACUGAACUAAGUGUUGGGAUAGGUAACUGCUAAUCAGGUUGGACACAGUCCAUGACCCAUAUUGAGUUUACAGUCUUAAUUCCCACUUUACAGAAGAGGUAAUUUAGGCACAGAGAAGUGAAGUAACACGCCCAAGAUCACACCAGUUCCUGAGAUGUGCAUGUCGCUGGGGC